rnacentral:rRNA from 1 species
AUACAGAGGGUGCAAGCGUUAAUCGGAAUUACUGGGCGUAAAGCGCGCGUAGGUGGUUAGUUAAGUUGGAUGUGAAAGCCCUGGGCUCAACCUGGGAAUGGCAUUCAAAACUGGCUGACUAGAGUAUGGUAGAGGGAAGGGGAAUUCCAGGUGUAGCGGUGAAAUGCGUAGACAUCUGGAGGAACAUCAGUGGCGAAGGCGCCUUCCUGGACUAAUACUGACACUGAGGUGCGAAAGCGUGGGUAGCAAACAGGAUUAGAAACCCUAGUAGUCC